rnacentral:misc_RNA from 1 species
UUGAUUCAUUUUGCUUUUCGCUUGCGCGACUCAGACGAUUCCACUAAAGGCAGCGAAGGCAAGAGUUUGGGUCCCCGGCGGCCGCCUGGGCCCGGGCCGCCCUCCCCCGGAGGGGAGGGGGGCGCCGGGGCGGUCCGCCGAAGCAACGUGCGGUAUGUUCACGGGGGUUUGGGAGUCGGUACAACUCGGUAAUGAUCCCUCCGCUGGUUCACCAACGGAGA